UCCCUCGUGGCGCAAUUGGCUAGCGCGUUCGACUGUUACUGGAUAAUAUCCUGGUAUCGAGAGGUUGGUGGUUCGAGCCCACCCGAGGGAG
rnacentral:tRNA from 1 species